UACGUAGGGUGCGAGCGUUAAUCGGAAUUACUGGGCGUAAAGCGUGCGCAGGCGGUUCGUUGUGUCGGCGGUGAAAGCCCCGGGCUCAACCUGGGAAUGGCCGUUGAAACUGGCGAACUGGAGUGUGGCAGAGGGGGUGGAAUUCCGGCGUGGUAGCAGUGAAAUGCGUAGAGAUGCGGAGGAACACCGAUGGCGAAGGCAGCCCCCUGGGCUGACACUGACGCUCAGGCACGAAAGCGUGGGGAGCAAACAGG
rnacentral:rRNA from 1 species